AAUAGUGAACAAACCUUAAUCUGAGAGAGAGAAGAUAGAGGGUUUGAAGAGAGACUGGGGUUGAAGGGGAAGGGUUUCAGUCAACGACGAGACUAGUUCAGCAGCAGCGAGACGGUACGCUUCUUUUGACUCUUCUUUCGACUCUCUCAUUCCAGUCGGUUCCUCUAACGACUGGGUUGAAAUGGUUCCUCUAUAUCUCUAUGUGACUGUGUAUCCUUGGAACAACAAUGAUGUAGUUUUAUAAUCCGAACAGAUCUUAAACCCUAUCAAGCUUUUGACUUGAUACAUUGUUCAAGAUGUAGAAUUAAUUGGACUCGUGAUGAUGGAAUUUUGCUGCUCGAGGUCAACAGGAUGCUACGUGCAAGAGGAUACUUUGCUUGGGCAGCACAGCCUGUUUAUAAGCAUGAAUUAGCCCUUGAAGAGCAGUGGUAAGAGAUGAUUAAUCUUACAAGCCACCUUUGUUGGAAUCUUGUGAAGGAGGGGUAUAUUGCAAUUUGGCAGAAGCCCUUGAACAACAGUUGCUACUUAAGUCGUGAGGCAGGAACGCGACCUCCGCUGUGUGAUUCAGAUGAUGAUCCAGACAAUGUUUGGUAUAUUAACUAUCCUCUUUCUGGUAUAUUUUGGUGAUUCAAAUAGUACAUUAAACUGCCUUGAAUGGUUAAAGUUUUAGAUCUCUAUUUGACAACUGCUAUGUCCGUAAGGCUUCUGAAGCAUAUUCAGUAGUAUGACAUGUUAACUUCAUGCA